UUUCCGUAGGUGAACCUGCGGAAGGAUCAUUAUUGCAUAACCGAGGUGCGAGGGCUGUCGCUGACCCGAAAGGUCGUGCACGCCCGAGUGCCCUCACACACAUCCAUCUCACCCCUAUGUGCACCACCGCGCGGGUCCCCCUUUGGCUUGUUCGGAGGGGGGCUUACGUUUUCACACAAACUUUGUAUGCAGUGUAGAAUGUAUUUUUUGUUUUUGCGAUCACGCAAUCAAUACAACUUUCAACAACGGAUCUCUUGGCUCUC
rnacentral:misc_RNA from 1 species